rnacentral:rRNA from 1 species
AAGCGUGCGCAGGCGGUUAUGUAAGACAGAUGUGAAAAUCCCCGGGCUCAACCUGGGAACUGCAUUUGUGACUGCAUGGCUAGAGUACGGUAGAGGGGGAUGGAAUUCCGCGUGUAGCAGUGAAAUGCGUAGAUAUGCGGAGGAACACCGAUGGCGAAGGCAAUCCCCUGGACCUGUACUGACGCUCAUGCACGAAAGCGUGGGGAGCAAACAGGAUUAGAUACCCCUGU